UGUGCACAGCCAUGUUUCUAUAGUAGCACUACACGGACAAACUGAGCGCGUUUCGUAAAACGAAGGAUGCGCGAGAAUAUGUUCUUCUUCUUCGGCUGUUUUUUGGGGCAGCUUCAAAGCGACUACAUAGAAGGAUUAGCAGAAGAAGAGGAAGAACAAGAACAAAAUUUACUUGUCGUGUUUUUUAGUAGAAAUAGAAACGGUUCUUUGUUGCAGUAAGAAGCAAAAUUUGCGCUAAUGGCGGACCACACAUACUCCGCACAAGAGCCGAUAGAGCGUCAAUCUGUUCGUUCAAAAAAGAGAAAAUACGACGCAGCAAGGCUAAGUCGAGACAAAAAACGGCAGAAAACCCGAAUAAACAUCGGCAUGGCUUUUCCCAAAUGGAGGGCACUGAAGCAGGAAAAGGGUUUGCUAAGCGACGCCGAAGUUGCAAGCUUUCUGCUGGACCGACCAGACAUACUGCUCGGUUGCUUCUUUCCCACCUCUGUAAGAUGCAGCUGCAGGGAAAAAAAAGGAAGAAAGAAUCACCACACACACACUUACCUUUAGACACACGCACACACAUAUACAUUUACACCCACAGCUACAAACAGAAGCCAUUACUGUCUAUCUGCCUUACUGACAGGUGAGCAGUGAGGGCAGGCCUGAGUGGGGAUAUACUAAUGAGCCUCUCUCUCUCUCUCUCUAUCUCUCUCUCCUCUAGACUGGGCUGGGCCAUUGGGCUUUCUGCUUUUAACACUAGUGUUGCCCAAUUAGCAGCCAUCAGUGUAUACAUCGCUCUCCUGACCUCACCAGGCUGCAUUAUGUAUUAAGGCAUGAUGUAUAAGAGGAACUACAAUUCCCAGAAGCCCAUGUUUAUCUUAUGCUUGGAGCUGUCAUCACCUGUCUGCACAGGAUGGCCUCAUCCAAAGGUCAGAGGUCAGCCAUCACCCACAAAACCGUGAGAUGACACGGGAAAUUGUCAGCGCUGAGAGAGAUGCCGUCUGUGGAGAGAGAUCUAUCACAAAAACGCCAUCAUCUCGGAGUCGGAGUGGCAACAACAGCACAGGAGUCUUCUAUGUGCGAUGUGACACUGAACAGUCAAACGCACAAAGGAAUAGUUUUCUUAAUUUAUUCUCAUAAAUCUGCCAUCAAAAAGUGAGAGAGGGAACCAGUUUUAAGGGAGUGAGAGUAGAGAAGAGGCUGUGAGGGUUUAUUCCACUAUGUUGUUGAGUGUUGACAGUGUGCAUAUGUGUGGAAACAUGAGACAGGAAGAAGCAGUGACAGAUAAGAACACAAUGGGAGAGAAACAGCAAGAGAGAGAGAGAGGAAAAGGUUGAAGAAGAGUGAGGUGGCAGAGGAACAAGAGAUAAGUAUAAAGAAAGACAUGCAAUACAGUAACUUUGCACAUAGACCACCAGACAUGAGAUCUCUUGUAUCUCAAACAAAGAAAUGUCAUUCCAAACCUGCUUGACUUUCUUUCUUCUGCAAAACACAAAAGAUGAUAUUUUGAAAAAAGUUACUGAACAGCACCGGUACUCAUUCACUUCUUUUGUACGGACACAAAACCUAUUCAAGUGAAUGGGGUCCAGUUGACAACAUUCUUGAAAAUAUCUUUUGUGUUCUGCGGAAGAAAGAAAGUCCUGCAGUUUUGAAAUCAAAAGAGGGAGGGUAAAUGAUGACAGUACUUUUUUAUUUUUGGUGAACUAUCAUUUUAAUAGUUAAUUAGACAACAUGUCGUAAAGACAAAACUGAAAAAUAAAUAUAUUUUGAUUCAUUAAGAACAUAACAAACUGAAGAAAUAGCCUUUGUCACGAUUUCAUAUCCAAAUUUGAGCUGGCACAUUCAACUCAGAAGUAAGAAAUCAAUCAAGCGUAACAUCUCUAUUAAAAGACUACACGUAAGCAACUGAUUAAACCAGACCAUCAGUUAUAGAUGAGACUCAAUGAUGGCCGACUAGAACUGUGUGAGCACUUCUUAGCUGGCGAAGGAGGAACAACCUCUGCUGGGGUUUUUUAGGGAUGGCGUCUAUUUGAGUGUCCCACUUCAGGCCCUAAGAGAUGGUAGUGCCCAGGAACCUGAAUGACUACUGAAGCCACAGUGUUGUGGUGAGUGGGGGGAGUGCAGGGUUGUUCACAUGAAGUCUACGAUCAUCUCCACUGUUUUGACCGUGUUGAGCUCCAGGUUGUUGUGAUUGCACCAGACAGCCAAUUCUGCAACUUCCUGUCUGUAAGCAGACUCGUUUCCAUUGUGGAUGAGGCCAAUGAUGGUAAUGUCAACUGCAAGUUUCAGGAGCUUGACAGAGGAGUCUAUUGCAGUGCAAUUGUUUGUAUAUAGUGAGAAGAGCAGUGGAGAAUCCCUGAGGGGCACCAGUGCUGAUUGUGAGAGUCCCGGAUGUGAGUUUACCCAGCUUCACUAGUUGCUGUCUAUCUUUAAGGAAGUUAGUGAGCCAUUGACAGAUCGGGGUAGGCACGGAGACCUGGGUCAGUUUGUCUGAGGGAAGGUCAGGCAUGAUGGUAUUAAAGGCCGAACUGAAGUCCACAAAUAAGUUCUUUGCAUUAUGAUAGUUCUUUAAGUUCUGUUGACUGCAUUAUCAACAGACCUGUUUGCUCUCCAGGCAAACUGAAGAGGAUCGAGGAGGGGUCCAGUGAUGUCCUUCAGGUAGGCCAGGACCAAUCUCUCAAAUGACUCCAUAACCUGAGACGUGAGAGCUACAGGUCUGUAGUCGUUAAGUCCAGUGAUUUAGGAUUUUUUGGAGACCGGAAUGGUAGUGGAGGGUUUGAAGCUGUGGGGAGCUUUGCACAGCUCCAGAGAUCUGUUAAAGAUCUGUGUGAAGAUGGGGGCCAGUUGGUUAGCGCAGACUUUUAAACAGGCAGGAUGCUCCAAAUGUUCAUUUCAAAUCAGCAUUCCUAGAUGUAUUGUAUUCUUUUCCAGUUUCCAGUGAACAAUAGUCCAGUUUUCUGUUAUUUUAACCUGUUUCUCCAGUUUUCAUUUUCUGCAAAAAAAAAUGGAAAUAGAAAUAAUAUUUUAUUUUUGGUAAAAAAAAAAUGCUGUUACUAGUUCACAGAACGAAACAAAAAUGAUCUUAUUACCUAAACACGUCAAUUUUAAAAGCCGUAAAACUGUAGAACAGUAAAACUGUUCAUUUUUUCAUUGGCUCUAUAUAGAAAUAUAUAGAAAAAAGAGCAAAAGUAAAGAAAUAGAAGGGCAUAAAGAGAGAGGGAGAGAUGAGGAGAGAUUGAAGGAGAAGGAAACUGUCCAAAGCAGGGAAAUUAGGGGCACACUUUGCCUGGGCUUUGAUCAUCAUCAAAGGAUAACAGCCUGACGGAAGAGUCAGCAGGACAAAUAUAACAGUUUCACUCUUGUCUUGUCUACAUGUGUGUGACUGUGUCUUUUCACAGGUAAAGCUUCCUGUGUUUGCGGUCUGAGAGGAGAUUCCCAUCCCGAUUGAUUUGGAGAGACACUUGAGAUUUUUUGAUGGCAGAGACUGUAAGCCCCUUGUCCUCAGCCAAGCCCCUUCCAAAGACCUAGUGGAGUGUGAAAUAGAUCCAGGAGCCCUCAGCGUGCGGAGAGCCUGCGAUGGCAAUAAGGAACAAUGGCAAUGAAACCCAAUCUCCAGGAUGCCUGCAGGUCCUAGUGUUGAAACGUGUAGCCGGCCCACUACUUUGGACCACUGAUCAAGCAGAUGAACAAGUGCUGGCUUUGUUUGGAAAGAGAAGGGGGAGCUGAGAUGUCAUAGGAAGCCAUUGGCGCACAGAGGCAUGUGGGGAUCAGAGUCGUGCACAGACCUCUGCUGUUUCGGUUAGCAUCUACCUGCAAGCCCAGAGUCUGCACCUUCAUGACCGCAUUUCUGGGGACGCAUUUCUAGGGUUUUAGCGACAACAGGUGCAUCUGAAUGUUUUUU